GGAAUCUUCCACAAUGGACGAAAGUCUGAUGGAGCAACGCCGCGUGAGUGAUGAAGGGUUUCGGCUCGUAAAACUCUGUUGUUGGAGAAGAACAGGUGUCAGAGUAACUGUUGACAUCUUGACGGUAUCCAACCAGAAAGCCACGGCUAACUACGUGCCAGCAGCCGCGGUAAUACGUAGGUGGCAAGCGUUGUCCGGAUUUAUUGGGCGUAAAGCGAGCGCAGGCGGUUUUUUAGGUCUGAUGUGAAAGCCCCCGGCUCAACCGGGGAGGGUCAUUGGAAACUGGGAGACUUGAGUGCAGAAGAGGAGAGUGGAAUUCCAUGUGUAGCGGUGAAAUGCGUAGAUAUAUGGAGGAACACCAGUGGCGAAGGCGGCUGUCUGGUCUGUAACUGACGCUGAGGCUCGAAAGUAUGGGUAGCAAACA
rnacentral:rRNA from 1 species